ensembl:snRNA U6 U6 spliceosomal RNA
GUACUUGCUUCAUCAGCACAUAUACUAAAACUGGAGUGCUACAGAGAUGCUUAGCAUGGCCACUGUGUAAGGGAGACAUACAUAUCUGUGAAGCGUUCCAUUAUUUU